rnacentral:rRNA from 1 species
GAAUUGAAGAGUUUGAUCAUGGCUCAGAUUGAACGCUGGCGGCAGGCUUAACACAUGCAAGUCGAACGGUAGCAGGAAGAAGCUUGCUUCUUUGCUGACGAG